rnacentral:rRNA from 1 species
AACGAACGCUGGCGGCAUGCCUAACACAUGCAAGUCGAACGAGACCUUCGGGUCUAGUGGCGCACGGGUGCGUAACGCGUGGGAAUCUGCCCUUCGGUUGGGAAUAACUGAGAGAAAUUUCAGCUAAUACCUUAUAAUGUCUUCGGACCAAAGAUUUAUCGCCGAGGGAUGAGCCCGCGUAGGAUUAGGUAGUUGGUGGGGUGAUGGCCUACCAAGCCGACGAUCCUUAGCUGGUCUGAGAGGAUGAUCAGCCACACUGGGACUGAGACACGGCCCAGACUCCUACGGGAGGCAGCAGUGGGGAAUAUUGGACAAUGGGCGAAAGCCUGAUCCAGCAAUGCCGCGUGAGUGAUGAAGGCCUUAGGGUUGUAAAGCUCUUUUACCCGGGAUGAUAAUGACAGUACCGGGAGAAUAAGCUCCGGCUAACUCCGUG